UGUUUCUCCUUGGUUCAAAAGAUAUAGAAGCUUUGUGAUGACCUGCAAGCAAAUAGCAUACAAAAAUCCAUUAAAAAUUCCUGAAUUCUCUCCCUUCUGAUGCGUGUCUAAUGUUGAUUGGUGUUGUUUGUUAAGCUUUAUGGCAGUUAUUCUAAACUGAUGUAUAAAGGAACUCUUAGAGACUUGCAAAGCGAGCUGUUAUGAAUGAAUUCUUGCAUUCUUCUCUGCAAAUCUCUUCUCUUCCCGUAACUCUUCUGUGUUUUCUUUCCUUUCUAGUUCAAUUCUGUUUUAGUUUGCAUCAAUGGUAUCAGAGCUUCAGAUCCUCGGCUCAGCUAUGACAAACGAUGGAAUAAUAUCUCGAGACUUUCUUUUCUCUCUCUCAGUUCUUCCUUCCUCUCUCCCUAAUUCUUUCUUUUCCAAAACUGUAACUCAUCAUUCUAUUGAUUCUUUCCUCUGUAUUUUCUCCCUCCUCCUCCAUUAUUGAACCUAGCCCUCUCCCCUGUUCUUAAAAUUUUUUGUUCUCUCUUCUUUUCUUGGUUACGAAACCAUCCAUUAAGAUUCAUCUACAUUUUUCUCAUUCUAUCUCUAAAUUUAACCCAUUGGAUCACACCAAAUUUCUACCAUGGAUUAUGUUACUUUCCCAGUUUCAAAGAACUUAUCAGAAUUGAAUGAUAGAAGGUGUAAGGGCUUGUGCUUGUGGUGUGAUGAGCAAUUUACCUCUAGCCAUAAUUGUGAUAAGGCAUCAUUUAUGGUGAGUAUCAUAAAUGACAUUCUAGAUGAAGAAGGUGAUGAUGAAAAUAAGGAAGAAUUGCGAGAAAUCCAAGAAAAUGUUUCUGCCAUUGAAGAUACUGUUCAACAAGACUGGCCAUCAACAGUUGUUAAUGGCAAUGUUCAACAAGAAUACCCACCAAUCUUGCAGCCUCUUGAAUGUUCUAAAUGGGAUAAAGAAGACCAAGAUUCUGAGAAUUC
rnacentral:misc_RNA from 1 species